GCGGGCGGGUGCGACGUGGCGUGCCCGAGAGUUGCCGGCACUCCGCGUCGGCUCCGAUCCGACCGCCCGCA
rnacentral:tRNA from 1 species